rnacentral:lncRNA from 1 species
AUAGGUGUAAUUAAAUGCAAUUUUGUGAAGUAGAAAUCAAAAUGAACAAUAAGGAAAGGAAAAUGUGAAUUGAAAAGAAUGAGUGAGUGAUAAAUGAGAAUGAAUGAACCUAAGGGAAUGCAUCAGGUCGGGUGUGGGAAUGACUCCUAACUUUUUCGACUUCGAUUUUCCCUUUGAUUAGAAGGCAAAACUAGCGUGCUAAGGCUAUCGAGUAGCCACACUCGCUCGUUUCCCUUAUCAGAAGGGGACCCUCAAGCAAAUGGACCCUACAACUAUCAUGAUAUGCAAAAAUCCUAAAAUGAAGGGAAAGGGGGUUCGAGGAGCAUGCCAAGUGAUAAAACUAAGAAAAAUGCAUGAUAUGUGGUGAACAAACAAAUGAUAUGCUAAUGAGGGGAAAUCCCUAAGGGUCUAGCGUUGGACUAGCCCAUUCUAUGAAUUCCGACUAGCGUUGGACUAGCGGAAACGUACAUUCAUCCAUUCCAUUCAUUCAUGGCUAUGAAAGCAAGUAGACAUGCCAAAAUACUCGUAAACACAUAGCACAUAGCAUUUAGCAUGCUCGACUAGAUGCAAGAGCCUAAUAAAGCAAUUAAACAUGUAGCAACAAAAGCAAGCAACCAGGGGGAAGGGGAAGUGGACCAGAUGCUCUCCGAGCC